rnacentral:rRNA from 1 species
AGUGAACGCUGGCGGUAGGCCUAACACAUGCAAGUCGAACGGCAGCACAGUAAGAGCUUGCUCUUACGGGUGGCGAGUGGCGGACGGGUGAGGGAUACAUCGGAAUCUACUUUUUCGUGGGGGAUAACGUAGGGAAACUUACGCUAAUACCGCAUACGACCUACGGGUGAAAGCAGGGGAUCUUCGGACCUUGCGCGAUUGAAUGAGCCGAUGUCGGAUUAGCUAGUUGGCGGGGUAAAGGCCCACCAAGGCGACGAUCCGUAGCUGGUCUGAGAGGAUGAGCAGCCACACUGGAACUGAGACACGGUCCAGACUCCUACGGGAGGCAGCAGUGGGGAAUAUUGGACAAUGGGCGCAAGCCUGAUCCAGCCAUACCGCGUGGGUGAAGAAGGCCUUCGGGUUGUAAAGCCCUUUUGUUGGGAAAGAAAAGCAGCAGGUUAAUACCCCGCUGUUCUGACGGUACCCAAAGAAUAAGCACCGGCUAACUUCGUG